rnacentral:rRNA from 1 species
UCGUGGAUUAAUUUGUCUGGUUAAUUCCGUUAACGAACGAGACCUUAACUUGCUAAUUGGAGUUGAUGAUUCAUUCGUCAACUCUGUUAGAAGGACCAUGUGUGUCUAACACAAGGAAGCGUGAGGCAAUAACA